AACGAACGCUGGCGGCAGGCUUAACACAUGCAAGUCGAACGCAUCGCAAGAUGAGUGGCAGACGGGUGAGUAACGCGUGGGAACAUACCCUUUUCUACGGAAUAGCUCUGGGAAACUGGAAUUAAUACCGUAUACGCCCUACGGGGGAAAGAUUUAUCGGGGAAGGAUUGGCCGGCGUUGGAUUAGCAAGUUGGUGGGGUAAAGGCCUAACAAGGCGACGAUCCAAAGCUGGUCUGAGAGGAUGAUCAGCCACAUUGGGACUGAGACACGGCCCAAACUCCUACGGGAGGCAGCAGUGGGGAAUAUUGGACAAUGGGCGCAAGCCUGAUCCGGCCAUGCCGCGUGAGUGAUGAAGGCCUUAGGGUUGUAAAGCUCUUUCACCGAUGAAGAUGACGGUAGUGUGAGAAGAAGCCCCGGCUAACUUCGUGCCAGCCGCCGCGGUAAAAC
rnacentral:rRNA from 1 species